rnacentral:rRNA from 1 species
UACGUAGGCAGCGAGCGUUGUUCGGAGUUACUGGGCGUAAAGGGUGUGUAGGCGGUUGUUUAAGUUCGGUGUGAAAUCUCCCGGCUCAACUGGGAGGGUGCGCCGAAUACUGAGCGACUGGAGUGCGGGAGAGGAAAGUGGAAUUCCUGGUGUAGCGGUGAAAUGCGUAGAUAUCAGGAGGAACACCGGUGGUGUAGACGGCUUUCUGGACCGUAACUGACGCUGAGACACGAAAGCGUGGGUAGCAAACAGG